rnacentral:rRNA from 1 species
UAGUUUGAUCAUGGCUCAGGAUGAACGCUGGCGGCGUGCCUAAUACAUGCAAGUCGAACGCAUAUCUUCGGAUAUGAGUGGCGAACGGGUGAGUAAUACAUAAGUAACCUGGCCUUAAGAGGGGGAUAACUAUUAGAAAUGAUAGCUAAGACCGCAUAGGUAUGAAGAUCGCAUGAUCGACAUAUUAAAUAUCCCACGGGAUAGCUGAAGGAUGGACUUAUGGCGCAUUAGCUAGUUGGUAGGGUAACGGCCUACCAAGGCGACGAUGCGUAGCCGACCUGAGAGGGUGGACGGCCACACUGGGACUGAGACACGGCCCAGACUCCUACGGGAGGCAGCAGUAGGGAAUUUUCGGCAAUGGGGGGAACCCUGACCGAGCAACGCCGCGUGAGGGAGGAAGUAUUUCGGUAUGUAAACCUCUGUUAUAAAGGAAGAACGAUGCAUGUAGGGAAUGACAUGCAAGUGACGGUACUUUAUGAGGAAGCCACGGCUAACUACGUGCCAGCAGCCGCGGUAAUACGUAGGUGGCGAGCGUUAUCCGGAAUUAUUGGGCGUAAAGAGGGAGCAGGCGGCAGCUAAGGUCUGCGGUGAAAGCCCGAAGCUAAACUUCGGUAAGCCGUGGAAACCGAGCAGCUAGAGUGCAGUAGAGGAUCGUGGAAUUCCAUGUGUAGCGGUGAAAUGCGUAGAUAUAUGGAGGAACACCAGUGGCGAAGGCGACGAUCUGGGCUGCAACUGACGCUCAGUCCCGAAAGCGUGGGGAGCAAAUAGGAUUAGAUACCCUAGUAGUCCACGCCGUAAACGAUGAGUACUAAGUGUUGGGGGUCAAACCUCAGUGCUGCAGUUAACGCAAUAAGUACUCCGCCUGAGUAGUACGUUCGCAAGAAUGAAACUCAAAGGAAUUGACGGGGGCCCGCACAAGCGGUGGAGCAUGUGGUUUAAUUCGAAGCAACGCGAAGAACCUUACCAGGUCUUGACAUCGAUCUAAAGGAUCCAGAGAUGGAUAGAUAGUUAUAGAGAAGACAGGUGGUGCAUGGUUGUCGUCAGCUCGUGUCGUGAGAUGUUGGGUUAAGUCCCGCAACGAGCGCAACCCUUGUCGUUAGUUACCAGCAGUAAGAUGGGGACUCUAGCGAGACUGCCUCUGCAAGGAGGAGGAAGGCGGGGAUGACGUCAAAUCAUCAUGCCCCUUAUGACCUGGGCUACACACGUGCUACAAUGGACGGAUCAAAGGGAAGCGAAGCCGCGAGGUGAAGCGAAACUCAAAAACCCGUUCUCAGUUCGGACUGCAGUCUGCAACUCGACUGCACGAAGUUGGAAUCGCUAGUAAUCGCGAAUCAGAAUGUCGCGGUGAAUACGUUCUCGGGCCUUGUACACACCGCCCGUCACACCAUGAGAGUUGGUAACACCCGAAGCCGGUGGCCUAACCGCAAGGAAGGAGCUGUCUAAGGUGGGACUGAUGAUUGGGGUGAAGUCGUAACAAGGUACCC